rnacentral:rRNA from 1 species
GGAGGAAAAGAAACCAACAGGGAUUGCCUCAGUAACGGCGAGUGAAGCGGCAAAAGCUCAAAUUUGAAAUCUGGCACCUUCGGUGUCCGAGUUGUAAUUUGAAGAAGGUAACUUUGGAGUUGGCUCUUGUCUAUGUUCCUUGGAACUAGGACGUCACAGAGGGUGAGAAUCCCGUGCGAUGAGAUGCCCAAUUCUAUGUAAAGUGCUUUCGAAGAGUCGAGUUGUUUGGGAAUGCAGCUCUAAGUGGGUGGUAAAUUCCAUCUAAAGCUAAAUAUUGGCGAGAGACCGAUAGCGAACAAGUACAGUGAUGGAAAGAUGAAAAGAACUUUGAAAAGAGAGUGAAAAAGUACGUGAAAUUGUUGAAAGGGAAGGGCUUGAGAUCAGACUUGGUAUUUUGCAAGCCUUACCUUCGUGGUGGGGUCCCCUGCAAUUUACUGGGCCAGCAUCGGUUUGGAUGGUAGGAUAAUGACUUGGGAAUGUGACUUUGCUUCGGUAAAGUGUUAUAGCCCUUGUUGAUACUGCCUGUCUAGACCGAGGACUGCGUCUUUGACUAGGAUGCUGGCAUAAUGAUCUUAAGUCGCCCGUCUUGAAACACGGAC